AAUAUUUUUUACCGGAAAUUAAAACUUGCCCAUAGAUAUCUCACCUCUUUCCGUCUCUCGUAUGGACAGAAAAUCUGUCCCCCUAGAUUUCCUUCACUUUCCCAGUUAAUGCUUUUAUUAAUUUCUCAGUCUUAUUCGAUUCACCUUUGCCUUUCACCUACCCUUUCUUCUCCAUAUAAAGGCCCUGUAUUCAACCUUAGUCCUCCAAAAUCUAGCUUCUAUCUCCAGUUAACCAUUCGCCAUGCAUUAUCCCUUUUGCAACAGGUGUACACUUCGUUUUUUUCUUCUCUUACUUCGAAGCUAUAUAUUGCUUGUAAAUUUGGGAGCUUUCUUUGGUUCAAAAUGAGGAAAGAAAGUGAGUAUACUCGUCUGCUUGUUCAUGGAUACCUCUGGGUUGCGCAGGAUAUAUUAGUUAGAGCUGCAGCUUAAGGGUUUGCAUGACCAAGGAGACGUUGCCUGCCUUCUCCUAUCGUUUCUUGGAUUGAAGGGAGCUCCUACAUGAGUUGAUGGGUGCAGACCAAUUUCGGUAAUAAAAAAUGAAGCUUAAUUUGCCUGAGUCUUGUUGAUCAAGUGAGUGGGAAUUUAUGCUUAAGCAGCUUAUUGUGACUCGUUAUCUUUCAGAAUAUUGUUCCUAUCUACUGCUAUAUUUCCCCUAUUGCUUGUCGGUUCGUGGUUUCGAUCUGAUUGGUAUCAGAAAACAUGCAGUAAAAGUCUUAGGACUACCUGUCAAUGCAUGGUCUCAAUCUGACACGCCACCUUUUUUCUUUUUAGCUGGCCAUGAAUGGAGGCUUUUUAUAAAAUUUCAUUUCAGUCCCUGAAGUUUUGAUAAAAAGUUGUUUUAAUUCUUAUAUGUUAUUUUAUUUAUAAACUGAUGUUACUGAUCCUUAUUUAAGAGUUUUAUCCUGGUGUUUUCUUGAAAUAUACAGUUUAGUCCUUAUAAAAAACCUUUUUACAAUUAUUGAUGAUUAUUAAUUAAGAUGGAAGUAAAGAUAAUGAAAAUAAUAAAAAGAUAUUUUUCAUGUAAAGUCUUUCCCAUAGAAAACAUAAUUUUCUAGUUAGAACCUUCAUCAUUCUCAUUCUCCACCAUCUCUUAUGAGAAUUCAGAGAGAUAGAUCAAGAAAAGUAAAGGGAUUUAAAGUGUUUUUUUUAAAAAAUUAUUUGCUUUAAAUUAAUAUUUUUUUUGUGUUUCUUAAUCAUCUUGAUGCGCUGAUGUAAAAAAAAAAUUUAAAAAUAUAUUAUUUUAAUACAUUUCUGAGUAAAAAACAUUUUGAAAAGCAACCGCAAUCACAUUUUUAAAUACACAUAAAAAAAAUGAUAAUGAUAAGAGUUUUGACAUGAAGAUUGAAUGAGAGACUGGGAUUUGUUUCAUUGUAGCAUUAGUGAAUGAAAAAAAUUGAUAUUGAUGUUGAUAUUGGUGUUUUUUUAGUUUUUAAUACUCAUUAGAUGAUAUUGAGAUAUUCUUUAAACUUUUAAGAACUAAAUUAAAAUUCAUACCUUUAUUUUCCCUUACAAACCAAGUGGAUAGCUACACUGAAAAUGAGGCUCUUGUUUUAAAUACCCUAUGGAUGCAAAUUAAAAUUCACCAUUUUAUUUUUAUUUAAUCGUGAUUAAUACAGUUGUAAUAAGAGAAAAAAGCAGUUGUUAUCUGCACUUGCAAGGCAUAAUUAAUAAAUUGAUUCUAGUCCUAGAGGUAAGCUACUGGUGCA